GAUGAAGAACAUAGCGAAAUGCGAUAAGUAAUGUGAAUUGCAGAAUUCAGUGAAUCAUCGAAUCUUUGAACGCACAUUGCGCCCCCUGGUAUUCCGGGGGGCAUGCCUGUCCGAGCGUCAUUACAACCCUCAAGCUCAGCUUGGUGUUGGGCCCCGCCGCCCCGGCGGGCCCUAAAGUCAGUGGCGGUGCCGUCCGGCUCCGAGCGUAGUAAUUCUUCUCGCUCUGGAGGUCCGGUCGUGUGCUCGCCAGCAACCCCCAAUUUUUUUCAGGUUGACCUCGGAUCAGGUAGGGAUACCCGCUGAACUUAAGCAUAUCAAUAAGCGGAGGA
rnacentral:misc_RNA from 1 species